UAGCUCAGUCAGUUGAGCGUGGUGCUGAUAACACCAAGGUCGCAGGUUCGAUCCCCGU
rnacentral:tRNA from 1 species